AGUGAACGCUGGCGGCAUGCCUAAUACAUGCAAGUCGAACGGCAGGACGAGAAGCUUGCGCCUCUACUGUUGGCGGCUGGCGGGUGGGUAAGGCGUAGAUCGCCUUCUUCUUAGACUGGGAUAACAACGGAAGACAAGUGAUGCUAACACCUCAUAUUUUGUACGGCAGGAAUCAAGAGAGCAUGAGAGUCUUCGUGUCUGAUAUAGCCGAAGCCGGGCUAGCUAGUUGGGAGGGUAAAGGCACACCAAGGCAACGAUCCGUAGCCGGUCUGAGAGGAUGAUCGGCCACACUGGAACUGAGACACGGUCCAGACUCCUACGGGAGGCAGCAGUAGGGAAUCUUCCGCAAUGGGCGAAAGCCUGACGGAGCAACGCCGCGUGAGUGAAGAAGGCCUUCGGAUCGUAAAACCCUGUUAUUAGGGAAGAACAGAUGCGGAAGUAACUGCGCAUGUCUUGACGGUACCUAAACAGUAAGCCCCGGCUAACUACGUG
rnacentral:rRNA from 1 species